rnacentral:misc_RNA from 1 species
AAAGUGCGAUAAGUGAUGGAAAUUGCAGAAUACUUCGACUCAUCGAAUUUUUGAAUGCAACCUGCACCCGGGGCUCGUCCUCGGGUCUACCUAUUUGAGCUCGGUUCCUUUUACACAAAAUCUCUUCCCCCUCCUUAGGGUGGGGGUAAGGGGAUAUUGAGGCGUUAACUUUCCCCCUUAGGGGGUGAGAGUUAUCCCUUUAAAUGCGAAUUAAGGGUAACACCCGUCUUCGUACGGCUUCUUCUCUAUAAAUUACCUUAGCUUAAUUUUAAUUAAGGUAAAUGGGAUAAAGCUAUGUGGAAGGUGGCCUUAAAAAAUAAACAGAACUAGUUCCCUUUAGACAGGGCUAGAAAAAACAUAAUCUUUUACACCGACUCAAAUUAGGUAGGAUUACCCGCUG